AUGCUUUCUCUGAAGAAAUACUUAACGGAAGGACUUCUCCAGUUUACCAUUCUGCUGAGUCUGAUUGGGGUGCGGGUGGACGUGGAUACUUACCUGACCUCACAGCUCCCCGCCCCUGCUCCAGGAGAUCAUCCUGGGGCCCAGAUCUGCCUAUACUCAGACACAGUUCCACAACCUGAGGAAUACCUUGGAUGGCUAUGGUAUCCACCCCAAGAGCAUAGACCUGGACAAUUACUUUACUGUCCGUCGCCUCCUAAGUCAGGUGAGGGCUCUGGACAGGUUCCAGGUGCCAACCACUGAGGUAAAUGCCUGGCUGGUUCAUCGGUACCCAAAGGGGUCUGUCUCUGGCAGCCAGCCCAACUCAGGCCUCGCCCUUGAGAGUUCCAGUGGCCUCCAAGAUAUGACAGGCCCAGACAAAGGGGUGCGAGAAAGCGAAACGGAGCAGGGAUUCGGAGAAGAUUUGGAGGAUUUGGGGGCUGUAGCCCCUCCAGUCAGUGGAGACUUAACCAAAGAGGACAUAGAUCUGAUUGACAUCCUUUGGUGGCAGGAUAUUGAUCUGGGGGCUGGACGUGAGGUUUUUGACUAUAGUCAUCGCCAGAAAGAGCAGGAUGUGGAUAAGGAUCUGCGAGAUGGAGGAGAGCAGGAGGACACUGGGCAGGAGAGGGUGCGGAAGCUCUGGCCUGAAACCUACUAGUGGACAGAGAGACUGGGGAGAGCUUCCCUGCACAGGUCCCUGGUGGGGAGGACCAGACAGCCCUGUCCUUGGAAGAGUGCCUUAGGCUGCAGGAAGCCACCUGCCCCUUUGGAGAGAAUCCUGAGUUCCCAGCAGAAGUUGCCAGCAUCACAGAGGCAGUGCCUAGUGAAAGUGAAUCUCCGGCUCUUCAAAACAGUCUCUGGUCUCCUCUCUUGACGGGGACAGAGUUGCCAUUUGAUUUGGAACAGCGGUGGCAAGAUCUCAUGUCCAUCAUGGAAAUGCAGGCCAUGGAAGUGAACACAUCAACAAGUGAAGAUCUGUACAAUGCCCCUCCUGGAGACCCUCUGAGCACCAACUACAUCCUUGCUCCCAACACUCCCAUCAAUCAAAAUGUCAGCCUGCAUCAAGCAUCCCUGGGGGACUGCAGCCAUGACUUUUCACUAUUUAGCCCUGAGGUAGAGAGCCUGCCUGUGGCUGGCAGCUCCGUGCUGCUUCCGCUGGUCCCCAGCAAUUCCACCAGCUUCAACUACACCUUUGGCUCCACCAACCUGGCAAGGCUUUUUUUUCCACCCCAAAUCAAUGGCACAGCCAAUGACACAGCAGGCCCAGAGCUGCCUCACCCUCUGGGGGGCCUAUUAGAUGAAGCCAUGCUGGAUGAGAUCAGACUGAUGGACCUGGCUAUGGUGGAGGGCUUCAACCCUGUGCAGGCCUCCCAGCUUGAGGAAGAGUUUGACUCUGACUAUGGCCUCUCCCUGGACUCCAGCCAUAGCCCUUCUUCCCUGAGCAGCUCUGAAGGCAGCUCUUCUUCCUCUUCCUCCUAUUCCUCUUCUUCCACUUCUUCCUCUGCCUCUUCCUCUUCCUCCUUUUCUGAGGAAGGUGCUAUUGGCUAUAGUUCUGACUCCGAGACCCUGGAUUUGGAAGAGGCUGAAGGUACAGUGGGUUACCAGCCUGAGUACUCCAAGUUCUGUCGCAUGAGCUACCAGGAUCCGUCUCAGCUCUCCUGCCUGCCCUACUUGGAGCAUGUGGGCCACAACCACACAUACAACAUGGCACCCAGUGCCCUUGACUCUGCUGACCUGCCACCACCCACAACCCUCAAGAAAGGUAGCAAGGAGAAGCAGGCUGACUUCCUGGACAAGCAGAUGAGUCGGGAUGAGCAUCGAGCCCAUGCCAUGAAGAUUCCGUUCACCAAUGACAAAAUCAUCAACCUGCCUGUAGAGGAAUUUAAUGAGCUGCUUUCCAAAUACCAGCUGAGUGAGGCCCAGCUGAGCCUUAUCCGUGACAUUCGGUGCCGGGGCAAGAACAAGAUGGCAGCACAGAACUGCCACAAGCACAAGCUGGACACCAUCCUGAACCUGGAGCGUGAUGUAGAGGAUCUGCAACGCAGUAAGUCCCGACUGCUGCGAGAAAAGGUCCUGCGGUCACUGAGGCAGAUGAAACAGAAGGUCCAGAGCCUGUACCAAGAGGUGUUUGGGCGGCUACGGGAUGAGACUGGGAGGCCCUACUCGCCCAGUCAGUAUGCACUCCAGUAUGCUGGGGAUGGUAGUGUCCUCCUCAUUCCUCGCACCACGGCUGACCAGCAGGCCCGGCGGCAGGAGAGGAAGCCAAAGGACCGGAGGAAGUGAGCCUGGGGAGGCAGGGGGUGGACGCUCACUAAGACCGAAACUGGAGAAGGGCUGGGCCUGGACCUGGACCUGGACCUACAGUGGGGACUUCAGUGCCUUCUUAUCCAAUAUAUCGUCUCAGAUGGGAUG